UUUACCCCGUCAGAUUUGCUCUAAAUGCUUUGGUUUUUGAGUUAUAAGCCAAAAACUGCAUUUUACCCCUAUGUUCUAUUUUUAGCCAUGGCGGCCAUCUUGGAAGGUUGGGCAGGUCACCGGACACAAUUUUUAAACUAGAUACCCUAAUAAUGAUUAUGGCAAAGUUUGGUUUAAUUUGGCCCAGCAGUUUCAGAGGAGAAGAUUUUUGUAAAAGUAAACGACGCCGGACGCCGGACGACGCCGGACGCCGGACGCCGGACGCCAAGUGAUGAGAAAAGCUCACUUGGCCCUUCGGGCCAGGUGAGCUAAAAAU
rnacentral:lncRNA from 1 species